rnacentral:rRNA from 1 species
UACAGAGGGGGCAAGCGUUGUUCGGAAUUACUGGGCGUAAAGGGCGCGUAGGCGGCCUUCUAAGUCGAACGUGAAAUCCCCGGGCUCAACCCGGGAACUGCGUCCGAUACUGGAAGGCUUGAAUCCGGGAGAGGGAUGCGGAAUUCCAGGUGUAGCGGUGAAAUGCGUAGAUAUCUGGAGGAACACCGGUGGCGAAGGCGGUAUCCUGGACCGGCAUUGACGCUGAGGCGCGAAAGCCAGGGGAGCAAACGGG